GUAUUAGUUACAAUGAAGCCCAGCUCCCAUAUUAUAUCAAACAAAAUUAUUUCUCUUCUACGAGAUGGUCCUUCAACACGUAAAGUAGCUAAAACGUGUGCUUUUUAAAAAAAUCUACAAAAACAUAGACGAGUUUUCGCUCAUGGACUGCCACCUGCGCGGGUCAAUCAAUUUCAGAAUUGCAGGAACGCAGAAACGAGCGCUUGGAAAUACCUUGCCUUAGGGACAUCGGAGAAUAAAUAGCAGCUCGAAUGCUUCUUUUCAUGCAAAUUGCACCGGUACCCGUCGACAC